rnacentral:rRNA from 1 species
GACGAACGCUGGCGGCGUGCUUAACACAUGCAAGUCGAACGGAAAGGCCCCCACCUUGGUGGGGGUGCUCGAGUGGCGAACGGGUGAGUAACACGUGGGUGAUCUGCCCUGUACUUCGGGAUAAGCUUGGGAAACUGGAUCUAAUACCGGAUAGGACCAUGGUUUAGUGUCUCAUGGUGGAAAAAUUAUUGUUUUGGUGCAGGAUGAGCUCGCGGCCUAUCAGCUUGUUGGUGGGGUAAUGGCCUACCAAGGCGUCGACGGGUAGCCGGCCUGAGAGGGUGGACGGCCACAUUGGGACUGAGAUACGGCCCAGACUCCUACGGGAGGCAGCAGUGGGGAAUAUUGCACAAUGGGCGCAAGCCUGAUGCAGCGACGCCGCGUGGGGGAUGACGGCCUUCGGGUGGUAAACUCCUUUCGUUAGGGACGAAGCCACACCUUUUUUGGGUGUGGUGACGGUACCUUUGUUAAGAAGCACCGGCUAACUACGUG